GGGGAAUAUUGGACAAUGGGGGAAACCCUGAUCCAGCAAUGCCGCGUGUGUGAAGAAGGCCUUCGGGUUGUAAAGCACUUUAGGCCGGGAAGAAAAAGCGUUACCUAAUACGUAACGCCUUGACGGUACCGGCGGAAUAAGCACCGGCUAACUCUGUGCCAGCAGCCGCGGUAAUACAGAGGGUGCAAGCGUUAAUCGGAUUUACUGGGCGUAAAGCGUGCGUAGGCGGUUCAGUAUGUCGGUCGUGAAAUCCCCGGGCUUAACCUGGGAACUGCGGCCGAAACUGCUGGGCUCGAGUGUGGUAGAGGGCGGUGGAAUUCCGGGUGUAGCGGUGAAAUGCGUAGAGAUCCGGAGGAACAUCAAUGGCGAAGGCAGCUGCCUGGGCCACAACUGACGCUGAGGUACGAAAGCGUGGGGAGCAAA
rnacentral:rRNA from 1 species